AGAGAGAGACAUGCGCGCAUAUCAAUAAGCGGAGGAAAAGAAACUAACAAGGAUUCCCUUAGUAACGGCGAGUGAAGCGGGAAGAGCUCAAAUUUGAAAUCUUCAAGGUUUUACCUUGACGAAUUGUAGUUUAAAGAAGUGUUUUCUGCUGAAGUUUUGGUAAAAGUUCUUUGGAAUAGGACAUCAUAGAGGGUGAGAAUCCCGUAUUUGACCAUUAUUUUCAGCUUUGUGAUACACUUUCAAAGAGUCGGAUUGUUUGGGAAUGCAGUCCAAAAUGGGUGGUAAAUUUCAUCUAAAGCUAAAUAUUGGCGAGAGACCGAUAGCGAACAAGUACCGUGAGGGAAAGAUGAAAAGAACUUUGAAAAGAGAGUUAAACAGUACGUGAAAUUGUCAAAAGGGAAGCGUUUGACACCAGUGUUGUUUUCUCGAAAAUCAAUUAAAAAUGGCUCGAUUUUGUAUUGCUUGAGACCUUAAAAGCUCACUGUACAUUUUUCGUGUCUUUUUUAAUGCACUUUUCGUUUAACAAGUCAACAUCAGUUUCUUUUAUUGUAAAAGGGUCAUUGGAAGGUGGCUUUCUUUUCGGAGAAAGUGUUUAUAGCCUUUGGCCUCUGCAAUCGAAGAGACUGAGGUCUGCAGCGUAGACUCUUCGGGGUUAGAUACAUUUGUGCUAAGUUAUAGCUUUUUAUAGACAACUUGUUGACUAUAAUUAGUCUUGUAGCUUACUCGCUUAUGCUAUUUUACCUACGCUUAGGAUGUUGAGUCGUAGAGCACGCAG
rnacentral:rRNA from 1 species